AUUGAACGCUGGCGGCAGGCCUAACACAUGCAAGUCGAACGAGUGGCGGACGGGUGAGUAAUGUCUGGGAAACUGCACGAUGGAGGGGGAUAACUAAUGGAAACGGUAGCUAAUAACGCAUACCAUCGGAUGUGCCCAGAUGGGAUUAGCUAGUAGGUGGGGUAACGGCUCACCUAGGCGACGAUCCCUAGCUGGUCUGAGAGGAUGACCAGCCACACUGGAACUGAGAAACGGUCCAGACUCCUACGGGCGGCAGCAUUGAGGAAUAUUGCACAAUGGGCGCAAGCCUGAUGCAGCCAUGCCGCGUGUAUGAAGAAGGCCUUCGGGUUGUAAAGUACUUUCAGCGAGGAGGCGUUACUCGCAGAAGAAGCACCGGCUAACUCCGUGCCAGCAGCCGCGGUAAUUC
rnacentral:rRNA from 1 species